UACAGAGGAUGCAAGCGUUAUCCGGAAUGAUUGGGCGUAAAGCGUCUGUAGGUGGCUUUUUAAGUCCGCCGUCAAAUCCCAGGGCUCAACUCUGGACAGGCGGUGGAAACUACCAAGCUGGAGUACGGUAGGGGCAGAGGGAAUUUCCGGUGGAGCGGUGAAAUGCGUAGAGAUCGGGAAGAACACCAACGGCGAAGGCGCUCUGCUGGGCCGACACUGACACUGAGAGGCGAAAGCGAGGGGAGCGAAUGGG
rnacentral:rRNA from 1 species